GUUCAACUCGCCUACAAUUCUAAGAGUUCGUUAGGUAAGGCUCGUGCCAACCAUCACUACGCGUGAUUGAAAUAAUUAUUUAUAACAACACUUGGGUUAACUACACAUUUAUUAACAAUCUACUUCUAGUUCUCAAUGGAUUUCGGUAAAGUUCUGAUCUGCUCUCUAUGAUGUCUGAAUCUUCACCUAUGUUCUCUAUGAUGUCUGAAGUUCUUCUCUGCUAUUCUGAUCUCUGGAAGGGUUGAAUUGGAGGGAAAGUAGGAGGAGUUCAAAAGGAGUGGCGGUUUCUCGCGGGUCUCGGAUGAUUGGUUAAGGAUGAUGAAAUAAUUGGGGAUAACCCUUCACCGAGAUAUCAAUACCACGAUAGAGGGAAGAUUUUUAUAUUAGUCGUUAAGUCAAGGCCCAUAUCUUUGUUAAUUUUAAGAAAUUUUUUAACAAAAAUUUAUAUGAAACAAGUUUAAUAUACACUUAAUAAAAUACCGACAAUCCGACCCCCUUAUUAGUUAGUCGUCCCUGUGGAAAAAAUUUUAAAAAAUCAGUAAUUUUUUCGGCCAUCACAGUGACGUUCCCCUUUAAAUUGCUAAAUAUUUUCUCAAUCCAACUGUCGGAAUAUCGAAAACAAACCUCAAAGUAAGUACUUAAAUGGUUAGGGAGGUAUUUCUGUGAUUUUAAGUGGGUAAAAAACAACUAUGAACGAAUUUGUAUACGUUAGCCACAUGGCCACCAAGGAGUUAAAUCUAAAUGCGCUAGCUGCACUCACAAAAGAAAAAAAAUGAAUGUAAAAGAACAUCAUUCGAUCGAAAAUAAUAUUGCUGA